GCAUUCUGGAAAAAGAUGCAGACUGGUACAGGCUGAAAGCGCAGCGGAGAUGACACUGUUUCAAGAUUCCUGCACCAGCCCCUUUGUGGUUAUAGAAGUUGGAUUAAAUAAAAGGGAAAUCAUAGGAAGAAUUUGAAACAGAGCAAUCUUCCUUUUGUAAAAAUUAACCCAACUCACAAAUACAGGAACAAGUGAGUUCAAGAACUUCAUGUCAGUCUGAUAUUUUGAGGGAUCAAAAUUCCGGCAAAAGUGUAGGAUGUGCUGAAUAACAUUUGAUUUAGUUCUCUAAAGUGUUUUCAUUUGCUAUGUUUGAAACCUCUUUGGUAAGUUUCACACCUGUGUUCCAGGAAGUUGGGACAUCUUAAUUUUACUUAUUAAAAGAGACAUGGUAUCAAUUACCUUCCAAAGGGAGAAAAAUCUUAAGAAGAUCACUAUGCAACUCCCAGCUAUAAAAUAUAUUAAUGUUACCUUUAACCAUAAGAAGUAUUUUUUAGAGAAUUCUUGAGAAAAAGAGAGGAUAAGAGGUAGAAAUAAAGGGCGGAGAAGUGGAGUGUCAGAAGUGGAACUGAAUGAAAUAAUGAGCCCUUUAAUUUCACUAGUCUGGCAAUAAAGGUUGUACUAUACACAUGUUAAAUAUAUCAAGAGGAGGCAGGACAGCCCACAUGACUAAGAAAGAAAGUGAUUUUAAAGGGUUCUUUCAAAAUGAUUGCUUUACAGGAAACAUUAACUUUAAACAAAAUUGGGAAUAGAAGAAAGUUCUUACUAAAGAAAACAAUUCAGGGCAGCUGCAGGCUUUCCUUCUCACUUGACAAUGAAGGCAUUCUUUUCCACCGCUUAACCCAAGAGCAGCUACCCUGGCCGGCUCAGAAUUGCAUAGCGCCAGUCAGGCAUGCCGUGAACUGGAAAAUGUUUUUGAAAUCAAGGAAAAGCAGCAAAAAGGAAGGCGUUACCAUGGAACUGAGAGAGGAGAUAAAAAUCUUUGUUCCUGAUGGUCUUGUUCCCACCUGCCUGGGUGCUGCAGCUCUGUGCUGCCUGAGAAAGCCAGUGACCAAGAGGAGCAGAAGACUACCAGUCGACCUUCCAACCACGAUGGCCGUUGAAGAGAUGCCAUCAAGCCAGGGUCUCUGCUUCUCCCUGCUGCAGCCUGUAUCCGAGACUGGCUUCCUGACCUGCACCUCAGUGAAAGGAAGGAAAGAGAAGGAGAAAUAGAAACAGAAGACACAAAACUUCACUGCAUUUUCUAGCCUCCUUUGUCAUUAUACAAGGCCAAAGGAAUAUGGCUGAAAGUGAUGUACAGCAACUACCUCCGAGCAAUGUUCCCUCUUCCCUAUCUUUGCUCGUAUGGUGGAGCAAAUGAUAAGGAGCACUCAGUAGAGAACUCCAAAACCUAAUGGUGGAGCCACUAUGGGGAAAGAACCUGAUUCUUGCCUGGGGUAGGGUUCCCUCAUUCCCUCCACUCCAUUCCUACUAACCUGGACAGGACUGUGAAGUGUACAAGUAAUAGACAUGGAUCAUUGAGUUUUGUUUGGUAUUUUUUGUUAUAAUACUUAUUAUGAUUAACAACAUUUCCAAAACAAAAUACCAUGUGGGUUUCUACUAGGAAUAAAUCACAAUGUUCACUGUUGGAUAGAUUUCUAGAGUGGCAGAGUAUAGCAAAACUUGGCUGUCUGGGCAAAAAUUUUUUUUUUUUUGAGAUGGAGUCUCACUCUGUCACCCAGGCUGGAGCGCAGUGGCUGAGUAGCUGGGACUACAGGUGCCCGCCACCACACCCGGCUAAUUUUUUGUAUUUUUAGUAGAGAUGGGGUUUCACUAUGUUAGCCAGGAUGGUCUCGAUCUCCUGACCUCGUGAUCUGCCUCCCUCGGCCUCCCACAAGUGCUGGGAUUACAGGCGUGAGUCACUGCGCCCGGCCGGCAAAAUGUUUUUAUUUUACUUCACUAUGAAGUUUCCUUCAGCUUCAGUGAGUAAUGUAGUGAUACUUCUUAAGGUUCUGAAGCUUUGCAACCAGAGUUCCAAGCAAGGAGCUCAGAUAUGCCCAAUUUCAAUGGCUUAUCUGGAGAUAAAUGACUCUAGAGAAAAACAGUGAUGGUCCCUUCUGUGAGCCAGCAUACGGAUUCAUGGAGCUAUUUCAUGUCUGGUCAAGUGUAAAUACUAAUAAAUGUUACUCUAACACCUCUUUGAGAUGUAUAAGGGUUAAUAUUCUUUCCAGCAUGACCUAGUUUAUUAGCAAGAAUGACUAAGUAAUAGGGAGAACUAAACUCAAUAUCACUAUGGUAUUUCCUUUCCUUGGAAAGAGUUUCUGGCCAUGAAAGGUGAGCUCACUUGCAUUUUCACUUCUGUCCAUGAAAUAAGGAGAAUGACCAAGACAUCACCUCGGUCGUCUCGUUCACAGGUCAUCUGUGCUGCUCUAUUUGGGAUGCUCCAAGUUGCUUUUUAAUCCCUGGUUCCUUUACCCCUUAGAGUAGACCCUGGGGCAUUCUCUGUGGAGGGCUCUUGACACUGGAAAUUCCUUCUUUGGUUGAUCAAAGCUGGUGCAGCCUGACCCCACCCCAGGAAGCUGUGGCAGACGUGUCUGCUCAACCUGGCUUCCUGCCAGCUGGGGAUUUACUCUGGGGUGAGUGGGGAGAGGGACUUUCAUGUGAGGAGGGGAUUUAUUGUUGGUUGAUG
rnacentral:lncRNA from 10 species